UACGAAGGGGGCUAGCGUUGCUCGGAAUUACUGGGCGUAAAGCGCACGUAGGCGGCUUCUUAAGUCGGUGGUGAAAUCCUGGAGCUCAACUCCAGAACUGCCUUCGAUACUGGGAGCUCGAGUCCGGGAGAGGUGAGUGGAACUGCGAGUGUAGAGGUGAAAUUCGUAGAUAUUCGCAAGAACACCAGUGGCGAAGGCGGCUCACUGGCCCGGUACUGACGCUGAUGAGCGAAAGCCAGGGGAGCAAACGGG
rnacentral:rRNA from 1 species